rnacentral:rRNA from 1 species
UACGGAAGGUGCAAGCGUUAAUCGGAAUUACUGGGCGUAAAGCGCACGUAGGCUGCUUUGUAAGUCGGAUGUGAAAGCCCUCGGCCCAACCGGGGAACUGCAUUCGAAACUGCAAGGCUGGAGUCCUGGAGAGGGUGGCGGAAUUCCCGGUGUAGGAGUGAAAUCCGUAGAUAUCGGGAGGAACACCAGUGGCGAAGGCGGCCACCUGGACAGGUACUGACGCUGAGGUGCGAAAGUGUGGGGAGCAAACAGGAUUAGAUACCCUGGUAGUCCACACCGUAAACGAUGGAUGCUAGGUGUCGGGGAGUAUUCUUCGGCGCCGUAGCUAACGCGUUAAGCAUCCCGCCUGGGGAGUACGGUCGCAAGGCUGAA